GAUGAACGCUGGCGGCGUGCCUAAUACAUGCAAGUCGAGCGAACGGACGAGAAGCUUGCUUCUCUGAUGUUAGCGGCGGACGGGUGAGUAACACGUGGAUAACCUACCUAUAAGACUGGGAUAACUUCGGGAAACCGGAGCUAAUACCGGAUAAUAUUUUGAACCGCAUGGUUCAAAAGUGAAAGACGGUCUUGCUGUCACUUAUAGAUGGAUCCGCGCUGCAUUAGCUAGUUGGUAAGGUAACGGCUUACCAAGGCAACGAUGCAUAGCCGACCUGAGAGGGUGAUCGGCCACACUGGAACUGAGACACGGUCCAGACUCCUACGGGAGGCAGCAGUAGGGAAUCUUCCGCAAUGGGCGAAAGCCUGACGGAGCAACGCCGCGUGAGUGAUGAAGGUCUUCGGAUCGUAAAACUCUGUUAUUAGGGAAGAACAUAUGUGUAAGUAACUGUGCACAUCUUGACGGUACCUAAUCAGAAAGCCACGGCUAACUACGUGCCAGCAGCCGCGGUAAUACGUAGGUGGCAAGCGUUAUCCGGAAUUAUUGGGCGUAAAGCGCGCGUAGGCGGUUUUUUAAGUCUGAUGUGAAAGCCCACGGCUCAACCGUGGAGGGUCAUUGGAAACUGGAAAACUUGAGUGCAGAAGAGGAAAGUGGAAUUCCAUGUGUAGCGGUGAAAUGCGCAGAGAUAUGGAGGAACACCAGUGGCGAAGGCGACUUUCUGGUCUGUAACUGACGCUGAUGUGCGAAAGCGUGGGGAUCAAACAGGAUUAGAUACCCUGGUAGUCCACGCCGUAAACGAUGAGUGCUAAGUGUUAGGGGGUUUCCGCCCCUUAGUGCUGCAGCUAACGCAUUAAGCACUCCGCCUGGGGAGUACGACCGCAAGGUUGAAACUCAAAGGAAUUGACGGGGACCCGCACAAGCGGUGGAGCAUGUGGUUUAAUUCGAAGCAACGCGAAGAACCUUACCAAAUCUUGACAUCCUUUGACAACUCUAGAGAUAGAGCCUUCCCCUUCGGGGGGGACAAAGUGACAGGUGGUGCAUGGUUGUCGUCAGCUCGUGUCGUGAGAUGUUGGGUUAAGUCCCGCAACGAGCGCAACCCUUAAGCUUAGUUGCCAUCAUUAAGUUGGGCACUCUAAGUUGACUGCCGGUGACAAACCGGAGGAAGGUGGGGAUGACGUCAAAUCAUCAUGCCCCUUAUGAUUUGGGCUACACACGUGCUACAAUGGACAAUACAAAGGGCAGCGAAACCGCGAGGUCAAGCAAAUCCCAUAAAGUUGUUCUCAGUUCGGAUUGUAGUCUGCAACUCGACUACAUGAAGCUGGAAUCGCUAGUAAUCGUAGAUCAGCAUGCUACGGUGAAUACGUUCCCGGGUCU
rnacentral:rRNA from 1 species